UAAUUUAUGUUUCAAAUUUUAUUUACAUUCUCUACUAUUUUUUUUAGAUUUAUUCACCUUUAAUGUUAUUUUUUCUUUAUAUUUUAAUUCUGUUCAGAUUUUGUUUAUCCCAUUUUAAAGUAUCUUACUUGUAUUUCAAUCUUUCCUAACCUCUUUGAAUCUUAGAUAUAUUUUCUCGUUUUUUUUCAGAAUUAAUUAUGUUAAAUAUUUUUUUCUGCUUUUUCUUUUGUUGAUUUUUACAUCGACAUUGCUCUCUCUUAUUUAAUAUAAUUUAAUUCCUUAAAUUUAUUUAUUUUAAAGUUAAAUUCAAUUGUUGUGUUUUGAUUAUUUUAAAUUCGGUUAUUAAAUUUGUCAAAUUCAGUUUUAUAUUAUGUUCUCUUUCUAUUUUUUCACUUUUUAUGAAUUUAUUUAAGUUUUUUAUUAAAUUUCUUUUCUGUUUUUAUUUUUGUUUUUACUUUUAUUUAAAUUUAAUUAAUUUUUUUAUUGAAUUCCUUCUUUCCAUUAUAAUUAUUCAUUAUCUUGUUAAAUUAGUAAUUCUACUAAUAAUUUUUUUUUUCCAAUAGGUAUAUCUUUACAGGAUUCCAAUUCCACAAGCAACAAAAAUUAAUUUAUGUAUUAUAUUAUAUUUCAAUUUUUCGCGCGAUUUUUGAAUGAAAAAAAUAAGCAUUAAGAGCCAGCCAAUCAGAACAUCCCUUAAUUCGAAACGCGGGACGAAUAAGUGCGCAUCGCAGUGCGCAUCGGAGUGCGCAACGCAGUGCGCAUCACACUGCGCAUGUCGUCAGUCUACAGUUGAAAAUUGUGCGAAGUGGAUGUGUCGUCGCGAAUUCGGAUUACGCAAUUUAAUUGAUAGCGUAUGGUAAUAUUCUCGAAGGCGGGAAAAAAUCCAAUAUGGACGCCAUGGACGUCUUGGUGACUUUCUUUCGUGGUAAAAAUUUUAUAUUUCGAAUUUUCUUCAGCUUUCAAUGGAUUUCUUGUUACAGGAACAGAAGAUUGUAUGAUACUGAUUAAAGAAAACGUAUUUAGAAUUAAGUGCAUGCACGAUCAAGGGUUUAUUAAAUAAAGUAGUGUAUUGUAGAAAAGUAGACACUGUAGAUGGGUAAAAUGGUGUAACGCUUUUUGGGAUGCUUAUUUUGCUUAUUUUUUUUCUUUUUUUUUGCGCACGCUUUUUACUAUCGAUCAUUUUUCAUUUUCCUACCGAUGGAAAUGUAAAAUAUUGAUAGAAAAUCUUUUAAUUUUAAUUUUAUCUUCACGUUUAGUCUUCCGCGCCGGGUUCUUUAGAAUUCCUUUUGCUGUUUGUUUUGCACAACGAUCGAAGGAUCUGAACGUUUUGCAAAUUUAUAUCAAAAGGAAGAUUUAUUUAUUAUUGAUUUUAAAUAAAUUUUUGCGUAAAGGAGGGUGGAUGGGAUCGUGGAUAGGGUGGGUCUCCAAUUCGCAGCACCUCCACGCGGUGAGACCUGGAAAAUCAUUAUUAUUUACUAUAUUCUUCAUAAUCGUAUCCUUGAUACAAUUAUAAAUUUUAUAGCAAAUAAGAUGAGCUAAUUGGCUGCGCACGCGAUUUCAAUGAUUAUUUUUUUUAUUUUGUAGUUAGAUUAUUAGUUAAGAUUUAUUGAAAUAAUAGUGAUCAAAAGUUUGAACGUUUUGUAAACAUACAAUGAAAGGAAAAUUUAUUUGUGAAUAAAAUAAUUUGUGAAAAUUAUAAAGUGUAAGAUUUUUUUUUUUCUUUGUGACUUUGAGUGAUAAUAAUUGUGUACGUAAUUAGAGUAUACUACGCUAGACGGCGUAGCUCUAAUCUUUUUUCGGUUCAGAACAUAUUUUACAAAGUCCUAUGAGAUGUCGCGUCAAUCUAUUUCUCGUCCGUAUUUCAUUUAUACGUUAAUUUUACGUAUGUCACUAAUGAAACACGUGGAAAAGAAUAAGAAAUAAGCAAUGAAUAGAAAUGGUGAAUAAAGAUAAGAUAAGAAUUGAACAUGAGCACCAUCUCUUGCAAGCUAGAAACAUCUUUUUAAAGAAAUAUUUUUCUAGAAGCACUAAGAGAUGGCAAUAAUACUUCAUUCUUACCCUACCUUAUCCUCUUUGGAGAAAAGUCUUAUCCUGUGAUUCAAUCAUUUUUAAUUUAUAAUUGUUGAUUUUUGUGUUAUAUUCUCUUUUUAUGUUUUUAUGUUUAUUUAUUGCAAUAUACAAUUUUUAUUGUUCAAGUUCAGUUAGAUUUAAUUAAGUAUUAUGUUACUUUUUUUUAUAUAUGUCUCUUCUAAUUCAAUUGAUAUUUA